rfam:Populus trichocarpa scaffold_1_contig_416, whole genome shotgun sequence.
UCUAGAACUCGAGAUAUGGGCUGAACACUAAACAUUGUCUGGGUUACAGGAUAGAUUCUGACGUCUCUUUUGUUGCUAUAAUUUGAACUUGAAAACGGACGUUUUGAAUCUUGGACUAUGCAUGAAAGUUUUAGGCCUAUGUCUUAGCUUUCCAUC